rnacentral:sRNA from 1 species
GAUCCAUGCAUGGUGAACUGUAGGACGGUAGGAGAACAAGAUAUAUUUAAA